UAUUGCCUAUAUUGUGUGAUAUUCGACGGGCGGCCGGAGAUAAACUAAAUUUCUCAAUAAACGACUGGAAACUUUGGGCCGGUUUAUAUUUAUCUGAUAUAUGUGGUAAAAAAAAAAAAAAAAAAUUCCUAAAUUCGCCAUCAUCGUACGACAGUGAACAAGCAACAUUACUUCCGCAGCUGCUCCGGUGGUGUGAUCGACGUCGUCUCAACCACGCGGGGAAAAUAAUAUUAUUUAAUUAUUAUAGUAAUAUAAUAUAAUAUAAUAUUUUAUUAAUAAUUCUUUGUCAACGUCGAUUUUCAUGAUUGAUAGCCGUACACGAUAAUAAUAUAUCGUGUAAGAACCUAACUACACACCAUGAUAUACGGCAAGCGAUGUCCACUGCAGUGUUCGCGAGAGCAAAACAAUCAUUUUCGUCGGAUUUGGAGUAACGGCCACACGAGACGCGUGUGAAAUAUGAAUUUGUCACCUAUAAGCACAAGUUUCGUUUACCCAAGCAGUAUUUUUUUUACGUCCGUUAUUCUUUCGAUCAUCAUAUUCUGUCGAUGGAAAGUAGGUAUAUAACAAUGUGAAAAGAAAAUAUCAGCUAUAAAUUGGAGGUAUUUUUUUACGCCGGUUCACAAGAAUUUUUUUGGGCAUCGUAUUCAGUCAACAGAAAAUAUGGAAAAAUGGAAAACCAAAUAUCAGCUAUAGAUUGAACGUAUUUUUUUACGCCGGUUCACAAGAAUUUUUUCGGUUAUCGUAUUCAGUCAACGGAAAAUAUGGAAAAAUGCAAAAAGCAAAUAUCAGCUAUUGAUUGGAGGUAAUUUUUUUACGUCCGUUGUCAAUAAUUAUUUUUUUUGGUCAUCGUAUUCAGACGACGGAUUAUAUGGAAUAAUGCAAAAAGAAAAUAUCAGCUAUUGGUUAGAGGUAAAUAUUAACCGUUAUUACCGAUUAAUUUUAUAAAUGCGUACCUACUACACCACGCAAAUAAGCAUUAACAAACGAUCAGAUCGAAUACGAUGAUGAUAUAAUAAAGUUGUCAAUUAUUCUCAAUAAUGUGCUCCUGAAGACAUCUGUUUCAAGAAUAAAUAAUUGUUUUAUUGUUAAUAAUUGUGUAAUUACGAGAACUUAGGUUAAAUUAUUUAUAUAUUUAUAGCAUAAUAUAACAUGUAAACAUACAUAGGCGUGUGUCAAAACGUAUAGAUUGUGAAGCCAUCAAAAAACUACUUAGAUAGAUAUUAUAUAAUAGGUAUCAGAGAUCACCAGUAAAUAUUUUUGGAGGGACACUUUAUAGGAGUUGGACUUCGGGAAAUUUUCUUGGGCCAUGGUGCAAUUUAAUGUACAUGUUUAUCCAAAGAAAUUCAAGGUAAAAUUAAAAAAGGUGGGUAAGUGGAUGUCGCUCUGCUGUACAGUAGGUUAGAAGUGGGUCA